rnacentral:misc_RNA from 1 species
UUAUUUAGAUAUUUACCCGCAACAGUGGAAGCAUUUGCAUCAUGCCUUGAUGAAGUUGACUCCCCACCUACACCUAGUUUAGAAUCCUUUUGUUGGGCAUGCUUUCUAUCAUGUGGAAUGUUGAGAUACUUUUUGGACCUAAANNAACUCCUGGGUCUGCAGGAUCAGCUGCUGCACACCAAAUAUAUAGGCCAAAGACGCAUGUAAUCAAAGGAGUGUAGAUUCCCAUCAUAGUAUAUUGAAAUAUCUUCUUCCCAACAAAAGGAGCAAAGAACACAUAAAAAGCAAAAAUGAAAAAAAUACAGCACCAGCCACAACCUGAAGUGGGUGAUAAGGAAGUUGCCAUCCAUGCUUCCUCAUUGUUAGCCUAAAUGCAGUAGCAGCAGCGACCCAAGACAAAAAUGUAUAUAAUUUGGGUAAGAACAAAAAGGAAAAGCUUAGGAAAAAGAAUGACUUGAGUUUUACUUAUUUUCUUUCACUUUCCCUCAUUUGCCCAGGAAAAAGAAUGAAGACCAUUCAUUCCACUGCAUUACCAACCAAAGGUUCCAUGGCCAAGCCAUUAUUCUCAUGGGUCUAAUUAAAGAGAGAAGAGGGAUGGAAAAGAGAAAAGCAUAAAAAAGGAUGAAACAGAUGAAGAAGCUAUAACAUGGUAUGGUGUGCUGGGCGGUGAAGAGAAAUGGGCAGUGAGGAAACCUUUGUCUGGUUCACUCAAUCAUAGCCAAAGGUUGUGGAAGGUGAAAAAAAUAAUGAAAAAGAGAUGAGGAGGCCUCAUUUUGGAUUUGGGUUUUCUGCCUUUGUUCCUAUGCAAGCAAAAGCUUUAAUUUUUUUUUUAAUUUUUUUUUCAACUCGAGCAAAACAAAGAUCUG